GACGAACGCUGGCGGCGUGCCUAAUACACGCAAGUCGAACGCACUCUCGUUUAGAUUGAAGGAGCUUGCUCCUGAUUGAUAAACAUUUGAGUGAGUGGCGGACGGGUGAGUAACACGUGGGUAACCUGCCCUAAAGUGGGGAUAACAUUUGGAAACAGAUGCUAAUACCGCAUAAAACCUAACACCGCAUGGUGUAGGGUUGAAAGAUGGUUUCGGCUAUCACUUUAGGAUGGACCCGCGGUGCAUUAGUUAGUUGGUGAGGUAAAGGCUCACCAAGACCGUGAUGCAUAGCCGACCUGAGAGGGUAAUCGGCCACACUGGGACUGAGACACGGCCCAGACUCCUACGGGAGGCAGCAGUAGGGAAUCUUCCACAAUGGACGAAAGUCUGAUGGAGCAAACGCCGCGUGAGUGAAGAAGGUUUUCGGAUCGUAAAAACUCUGUUGUUGGAGAAGAAUGUAUCUGAUAGUAACUGAUCAGGUAGUGACGGUAUCCAACCAG
rnacentral:rRNA from 1 species